UUGAUCCUGGCUCAGAUUGAACGCUGGCGGCAUGCCUUACACAUGCAAGUCGAACGGCAGCACGGGGCAACCUGGUGGCGAGUGGCGAACGGGUGAGUAACAUAUCGGAAUGUACCCUAGAGUGGGGGAUAACGUAGCGAAAGUUACGCUAAUACCGCAUACGAUCUACGGAUGAAAGUGGGGGACCGCAAGGCCUCAUGCUCAUGGAGCAGCCGAUAUCUGAUUAGCUAGUUGGUAGGGUAAAAGCCUACCAAGGCAACGAUCAGUAGCUGGUUUGAGAGAACGACCAGCCACACUGGAACUGAGACACGGUCCAGACUCCUACGGGAGGCAGCAGUGGGGAAUUUUGGACAAUGGGGGCAACCCUGAUCCAGCAAUGCCGCGUGAGUGAAGAAGGCCUUCGGGUUGUAAAGCUCUUUUGUCA
rnacentral:rRNA from 1 species